rnacentral:lncRNA from 10 species
CAUGAAAUAAAUAAAUUGAUGCAUAAAUGUGUGAUGGAGUGAAAUAAUAUAAAGUUUUAACCAUAGAAAACGUAUAGAAAAAGUAUGAUAUCUGAAUACAAAUUCCAUGUCUCACCAAUGAAAUACAUUUAUUUCUGCAUUAUGAUCAUAUAUGGGUACAGAUGAGAAUUACACAGGACUUCUCAAUUCUUAUGGAAAAAUAGUGUCUUUAUGUGACUAGCUUCUCUGAAUUCUGCUUAGUCUCAGGUUCUUGGUUCUUAAAUAGAUUCUUUCUCUCUCUUUUCAUUGUACUUAAAGUCAAAAUGAAUGCUAUUCAUGAUCAUAUGUUGCUUUUGAGUCAGAUACGUUUACAAUCUCUUAUAUUGUUGAAAUUAGGCUAUUUCUGAAGCCUGAUGCCUUCUUUUGUCUAUACUAAAGUAUAAUUUAAGCUGUUUCCUCUCUUAUGACUUCUCUUUUUUCUCAUCUAGUGCCUGCUUGGUUUCCUAGAAUAUCUUCUCCAUAAGACAUGAGAUUCAAGCCUGGGAUAUUGUAGUGAAGAAGAGAGAAAGAGAAUGGCAACACCUGAGUUCCAGGAGUCAGCCUGCUAGUAGUAACAGCUAAGUCUUGGUGUUGCUAUGGGGUGGUCUGGCUCUUCAACUAGGCUUUGAUAUUCUUCUAUUGGACAUAAACAAUCUCAGAAAACGUUAAUAUCAGACAAGGCUAUUCUGUCACCAUGAUAGACCAAGACUAAGGCAAGACCACUUCAUAAUAAUUCCUGUACAAAGGCAAAAUAUGAACAUUGUCCACAUCAAAUAAGUGACUAAACAUUUCUUUAAACCAGUUAAUACGAGUGAAUGCUAUUUCCUUAUGAAACAGUGUUAGACUUGCUCUCAUCUAUCUCCCUUCUAGAUUAAACUCAGUCAUAGAAUUGUCUAAACUUUAUGAUAGCAUCCAAUCCAGAGUAAGCCCACUUCUUUCAAUCCUCCCGAAAAUCACUAAAGCAAAGUUCAGAUAGAGUAAGUCAUUUCUAAAACCCAUUUACAGAGAUGCUCCACAAUUCCCCAUGAUGUGCAUUGUCCUUUGCUACGAUGGGAAAUUAACUCAACUUGUUCAAAUACAGGUGUGUUCUUUUUUCUCCUUAGUAGAGGGCAUUGAAUACAAGAGAGAGAGAAGAGAACACAAAGCAGUUUCAGAAAAACACCCAAAAUAAAUCACAAGAAGUAUACCCAAAAUACUUGAAACUUUUCUUGUGUUCCACCAAAAUCUCUAAAUCCCAGAGUAUAUCCUUGAAUUUCAAUUCCAUCAUGUUAGAAUUUAUUUUCAAAGAUGGAGGAUAGAGUAAAUGGUCAAUGCUUCUCUGGUGCAGAGAGGGGUCUUCUUAAAUAUACCCCUAACUUUAUGUCCCAUUGAAAAAAGUAAUAAAAGUAAAUUAAUUAAGAGAAUAUUGACCUCUGAAAAAAUUGCUUGCUCCUUCUUACAGAUAUUUAUGUCAGAGCACAGGGAAUAGUAUUUUAUCACCUUCCUGACUUUUUAUUCCCAUUGCAUAAAUCUGUCAGUGAGCAAGCUCUAUCCCCAGCUGGGCUGGUCUAGCUACAAAAUAAGACAGGCAGAUACCAAUGCAAAACUGUGGUUUAUUUUUGAAAAACUUUUACCUCUGCUUUCAUUUUGGCUUUUAAUAAGUUUGACAAUUCUCAGCAUUUUUUUUUUUUGCUUUUUUGUCCAAAUUUCCUGCCUGAUGGGGAAGUCUGAGGAUGAUUAAUGUUCAAGAAAGUUGUGAGGAAAUGUGCCACCCAAGUUUAAUGCAUUAUUAUUUUACUAAAUCACAAUUUUCUUGGUGUCCAUAUCAGUAGCCUAACCUUAUGCAGUAAUAACUGAUUCAGACUUCAUUUAUAAAACGGAAGGGAAAAAUGCAAGAAUAAAAAGGAAGAGAAUUCACAGCAGAGCAAAGAGAAAUUACUGCCAUAUGAACUCUAACACUGUAGCAUUCUUUCACGGUCUGGUACUUUUUAAUCUUGAGUCAUAGAUGGAAAAAUAAAGGAAAAAAAUUGAGGCACAACCAUUCUACAGUAGGCAAGGCAAUUGAGAUUGCUUGGAUUCAUUACUCUGAACUCCAGCAAACAGCUACAGAAUGCCUAGAAUUCCCCAGACAUGACUAUUACAGCUCUCUGUGGUGGCUCAACAGACUUCGUUUUCAGAUAGGUUAUUUGGAGCACCAAUUUUCUUUCUAAAAAUCUUUGUUUUGGCCUUGAUUUGGAAAUAACCUAUGACCGUAGUAUUUAUUUUUCUGCUUAAGAAUUCAUAGAGAAUUUUGGUUUGGGCAGCAUGACAACUUUUACUUAAUAAAAAUAUGAGAAAAAUAUAUAGUUAUAUAGGCUGAUUCCUUUUCACAAUAACUCUACUGAGCUCAUAUAAUUCAAUCUAGUUUAUUUGUUUUUGUUUUCAUUUUUCUUUAUGUCUCUGACUGAGGCCCAGUGGGCACACUCAAUUUGGAAGGGUUUUAGAAAACAUGGCUGAAAAAUGAUGAAUUACGUAUGUAUUAAAUUGAUGUUCACAAUUUCCUGUAAGUAUAAUCUCUUUUCAUGAAAGUGAUGACUCUUUCAUAAUAGCUGAACUUUAUAAACACACGCACACACAAACUAAAUUAAAUUAAAUUAAAUAUGUCCAGGUAAUAUUUCUAAAUAUAUAUAGAAAGUUAAUCUAAAUUCUAAAUACCUUGUUGAUGUAUGCAGUAUUUUAAAGUCAUUUGGGGGAUAACAAUUCUGGCAUUGUCCUAUAGCAACAAUAAAGAGAGGCAGUUUAAAAACAGCAAUGUAAAGAAGGAUUUCAAGCCAACAUUAAUGGUGUGAUUUAGUCAAGCCCUUUUUAUUGUGGAAUUUUAUAAACCAUUCAAAAUUAUACUUAUAGCUAACAUUUCAAUAUAUUAAAAAUGCUCACAAUAAAAAUUAAUUUCUAAAAAGGCAAAUGAAUGGAGGAUGCAUAUGCAAUAUGUCCUUAACUAUAAAUAUGUUGAAAGAUGAGAGAUCAUGUGGCUGAUAGGCCAGUUGAUACAUAAUAAAAAGAAUAAAUAUAAAGAGACAAAGAGAGAAAAAAAGGAAUAAGAAAGGAAGAACAUAAAGGAAGAAGGAAGAGAGGGAGAGAGGAAGAAAGCAAUAGACGGAGGAAAGGAAAAGGUAGGAGGAAAAAAGACAAAGCUAGCAGGAAACCAAUAUAUAUAUAAUAAAUAUUAAUGUUAAGAAUAUAUUAAUUAAUGGAAGUGUUAAUGAUCUGUGAGUGGUCUGCCCAGAUGUGAUUCUUACUAUACUAUUACAUAGCCCAAAUUUUCUUAAUUGGACAUACAUUUUCUGUAGCCAGAAAAUUAAAAUAUUAAUUUCAGAAAAAAAUUGUUAUUUCUAUCCUCUAAAUGCAUGCCCCAAUGAAUAAUAGUCAAAUAUUAAAAUUACACACACAAAAGUUGUGAAAUAGAAGACUAUAUAUAUUUUUUCAUUAACAUAAACAGAAAAAUUCCUACUAGCUCUUCACAUCAGGAUUUGUAUGACCCAUUAACGUGUUCAAAUGCAACAUUGCUCAUUAAAGGAAGAGUUCUUACAACUCAAUUCAAGGCAAUAAGGCCCCAGCAACUGACCUCACAGGAAUAGUCCCUUGCUUCCUAGCUUGGCAGCACCCCACACUGUUGGUCUUGCAACAGCCAUUCUAAGUCUUUUGGAGAAUUUAAUCAAUUUACAUUUAAAGCAAUUUUUGAAAGGUAAGAACUCACUAUUGCAAUUUUGUUAAUUAUUUUCUAUUUUGCAAUUUCUCUCUUCCUUUCUUCCUUUUUUUACUAUCUUCCUUUGUGUUUUGAUAAUUUCUGGUAAUGUUAUGCUUUGAUUUAUUUCUCUCUGUAUCUUUUGUGUAUCCACUACAGGUUUUGUCUUUGUGAUUACUGGGAGGCUUAUGUAAAAUAUUUUGUAGUUAUAGCAGUCUACUUUAAAUGAAUAAAAAAUUAGCCUUGAUAGCAAAGAAAUAUUAUACUUUUAUUCCCUCCUUACAUGUUAUUAUUAAUGUAACAAAUUACAUAUUUUUACAUUGUGUAACUAUUUACAAAUUAUUGUACUGUAGGUAUUUGUAAUACUUUUGUCUUUUAACUUUUGUAUUAAAGUGAAAGUUAUUUAUUCACCACCAUUUCAGUAUUAGAACAUUCUGGACUCUAAUCUUUAUAGGAUUAGACUAUAUAAUUACCUUUACCUGUGAAUUUUAUACCUUCAUACUUUUUCAUGUUUCUAACUAGUGUCCUAUCAUUUCUUUUUUAUUUCCAUUUUUAUUUUUUAUUAUUAUACUUUAAGUUCUAGGGUACAUGUGCACAACGUGCAUGUGUCCUAUCAUUUCUUUUUUUUUUUUUUUUUUCUAGACGUAGUCUCGCUCUGUCCCCCAGGCUGGAGCGCAGUGGCACGAUCUCGGCUCACUACAAGCUCCGCCUCCCGGGUUCCCGCCAAUCUCCUGCCUCAGCCUGCCGAGUAGAGUAGCUGGGACUACAGGCGCCCGCCACGACGUCCGGCUAAUUUUUUGUAUUUUUAGUAGAGACGAGGUUUCACCGUGUUAGCCAGGAUGGUCUCCAUCUCCUGACCUCGUGAUCCACCGGCCUCGGCCUCCCAAAGUGCUGGGAUUACAGACGUGAGCCACUGCGCCCGGCUGUGUCCUAUCAUUUCAACUUGGUAAAGACUUCGCCUGGCUGAUGGAGAUCACAGUUAAGUGGGAAUGAAAACAGGUUCUGUGUCCAUGCCAAGUCUACAGUUGGGUUAAUAGUUGGCAAGUCUGCUACCAGGGCCACAUAUGGUUGUGGCUUCCACCAGGCCUAUGAGCAGUACUGCCUCCAGACCAAGGGAAAGCUGGACUGGAGUUGGGUCAUGGAACUGCUUUAAAGACCAUAGUUGGGUCCAAGGUCUGCAGGUCCUAUUACUAGGAGCACACACAGGUGUGGCUCCCAAGUCCUUUGGUGGAAGUGGCUGAAGGCAGCAGUGUGUGGACUUACUUCUCAAAGAGGCACUCCUUGGCCUUGGAUCUAACAAUUGUUUUAUAACCAGCUAUUUGGAUCCCAAGACUCUCACAAAGUCAAAUUUGUCUGUUUAUGCCACCAAAUAUUUGUUUCUCUGGGACGACACAGGCUUGGGACCCCCUCUUCUGCCAUCCUGCUGAUGGCAUUCUCAUUACUUUUUUAAAAAAUUUGUAUUCUACUGAACUUAUGUUUACUUUUUGUAACCCGCAUUAAAAAAAUUUAUUGCAUUCCUUACCCUAUUGCAUUAUUUUCUAUGUAUAUUUGUAAGAGAUCAUUUGAUUUCCUGACCCAUCUUCUGUGAAAAGAACUAUAUUUAAAUAUAUAAUAAUCCAUAAACUUUGCACAAUUUUUAAUUACUUGAAAAUUAAUCAACUUUCCUUCAUAAGUUGAUAAUAUGGUUAUGAAUUGUCUGAGUGCUAUUGUACAGGAGAUGUGGCAGAUUUCAAUACUGUUGAAAUAUUCACUGCCCCUUCUCAGCCAAUUAUAAUUUCCUGCUCCAAGAUCUCAAACUUUGCCAUGCAACUUGUUUUAUUCUAUAAAAUGUGAAUAAAAGUAACUUGUUCCACUUUCUGGGUAU